AAAUGUUCAAGCCUGGGAUCGAACCCAGGCUGAGUUUUGCCUUUUCUAAGAGAACAAACGGAAUAAUGAAAAAAUUUAAAGAAAACGUCAACACUUGGGCUCGAACCCGGAACGCUGAGGCAUCUUUGCACAACCUUAACCGCUGGGCUGUCAACCUUUAUUGUGUCAAGGUUGUUCAACUGUUAGUAUAUAUCCAAAAAACUCGAUAUUUAGUAUAUAUACCCGUAAAAAUUUUCCGACGAAGGUUGUUCAUCUGACCACCCUCGCCAUGUCGUAGCUCCGCCC
rnacentral:lncRNA from 1 species